UGGUGCAUGGCCGUUCUUAGUUGGUGGAGUGAUUUGUCUGGUUAAUUCCGAUAACGAACGAGACCUUUACCAUACUAAAUAGUUUGAUCUAUUCAUUUUGAAUAGAUUUAUUUAAACUUCUUAGAGGGACUAUUGGUUCUUAAACCAAAGGAAGUAAAGGCGAUAACAGGUCUGUGAUGCCCUUAGAUGUUCUGGGCUGCACGCGCGCUACAAUGAUAAGCUCAACGAGUAUUUAAAAUUUAAUUUUAUCGCUUUAUCGGAAGAUAUGGCUAAUCUUAAACGCUUAUCGUGCUUGGGAUAGAUGAUUGCAAUUAUUUAUCUUGAACCAGGAAUUCCUAGUAAUCGUAUAUCAUCAGUAUGCGAUGAUUACGUCCCUGCCCCUUGUACACACCG
rnacentral:rRNA from 1 species